CUUGAAUAAAAUAAGAGGUCCAGCCUGCCCAGUGAAAUUAUUCAACGGCCGCGGUAUCCUAACCGUGCGAAGGUAGCGUAAUCACUUGUUCUUUAAAUGAGGACUAGUAUGAAUGGCACCACGAGGGUUCUACUGUCUCCUUUUUUUAAUCAGUGAAACUAAUCUCCCCGUGAAGAAGCGGGGAUCUUUAUAUAAGACGAGAAGACCCUAUGGAGCUUUAAACAACCAACAUUUGCUACACCAUAACAUUUUCCCUAAAAGAAGUAUAGCAUUAUGAUUAUUAGUUUUCGAUUGGGGUGAUCACGGAGUAAAAUAUAACCUCCAUGCCGAAAGAGUUCUUACCCUGAGCAAAAAGCCACAACUUUAAGCACUAAAAAAUUAACGCAGUUUGACCCAAUAUUUUGAUCAACGAAC
rnacentral:rRNA from 1 species